GCGGCCGUCGGUGCAGAU
rnacentral:snRNA from 1 species